AGUCGAGGGUCGCCCUUUCUCGACGCUUUCCAGUUGCAUCUCCUCGCUGUCGCGGUCGCCUCUGGUUCGCUUGGUGCAGGUCGGGAACGUCGGGAUCCGCCGGCGGAUGAGCUGCUUCCCGCCUUGCAUCAACUGAAUCGGAGGCGAGAGUGACGAUCUCCGCGCCCUCCCCCCUUCCUCCUCCUCCCGGCUACCAAUUUGCAGAUCUCGAUGAUUGGAGCUCUACAAUGUCAUUGGCAGUAAUAUGGGCACAAUUACAUCCAAUUCCCAGGAUAGUAUUUCCACCGAGCGCCGAGGAUAAAAAUCUUAAGUAGAAUAUUGUUGAAAUUUUAGUGGGGCGGUGCACCAGAUGAAAAGCAAGCAUCUUAUGUGGCGGAGCAAGGAGAUGGUUAGCAAAAUGGUGCGAAGCUGAAGGAACUACAAAUGCUGCCAUUCCAGUGUUCGCAGAUACAGAAACUUUAGUUGAUGAGUUGUUUGACUUAGACUGAAAGCAUGUUACGUGAUGGCCAAUACACUAUACUUUGUUUGGCGACUUCAAUUUUUUUAUGGCACAUGGCACAUACCAAAGUUUCCUCAUAUUUCCUGCAAAUUUGGGAUUUAACAACUCAAGAAGAGACAAUGAUUGAUUUCUGCUGGAUACUGGUGUAUCUUCCAAAGUUAUUGUACUACCUUCAGUCAUAACCGCAGGGCUGUCAAGCAUGGGGCCAUCAAUGUCCAGACUCAAAAAACAAGAUAAUCUUUCAAGCAGAAAAAGACCCAAGUACUCAGAAGGAUCAUCCUGGUACAAAAGGCACUUUAUGGACAGAGUACUAUCCAAAAACACACCUGGAAAUCAACUUAUGGACAGUUCAUUGUAAGCAUACCAUUUUGUACACAACACUUUGUGCAAGAUGCACGUUACAAAAAAUGUUUAACUAAAUAGUAUCAAACUACUUGUAGUUUAACUAAAUAGUGGUGUUAUGGCUAACCUAUACCUAGGUGAAUGAUGCAAACUAGUAUU